rnacentral:rRNA from 1 species
AGGAUAAACGCUGGCGGCGUGCAUGAGACAUGCAAGUCAAACGGGCCUUCAGGGCUUGCUCUGGAGGCCAGUGGCGGACGGCUGAGUAACGCGUAGGUGACCUGCCCCGAAGUGGGGAAUAACUGCCCGAAAGGGUGGCUAAUACCGCAUGUGGUGAUGCGUUCAUUCGCAUCAGUAAAGCCGCAAGGCGCUUCGGGAGGGGCCUGCGUCCGAUUAGCUCGUUGGUGGGGUAACGGCUCACCAAGGCGACGAUCGGUAGGUGGUCUGAGAGGACGAUCACCCAGACUGGGACUGAGACACGGCCCAGACUCCUACGGGAGGCAGCAGUCGGGAAUUUUGCGCAAUGGACGAAAGUCUGACGCAGCAACGCCGCGUGAGGGAUGAAGGCCUUCGGGUUGUAAACCUCUUUUCUCUAGGGAAGAUAGUGACGGUACCUGAGGAAUAAGUCACGGCUAACUACGUGCCAGCAGCCGCGGU